GACGAACGCUGGCGGCGUGCCUAAUACAUGCAAGUCGAACGCACUCUCGUUUAGAUUGAAGGAGCUUGCUCCUGAUUGAUAAACAUUUGAGUGAGUGGCGGACGGGUGAGUAACACGUGGGUAACCUGCCCUAAAGUGGGGGAUAACAUUUGGAAACAGAUGCUAAUACCGCAUAAAACCUAACACCGCAUGGUGUUGGGUUGAAAGAUGGUUUCGGCUAUCACUUUAGGAUGGACCCGCGGUGCAUUAGUUAGUUGGUGAGGUAAAGGCUCACCAAGACCGUGAUGCAUAGCCGACCUGAGAGGGUAAUCGGCCACACUGGGACUGAGACACGGCCCAGACUCCUACGGGAGGCAGCAGUAGGGAAUCUUCCACAAUGGACGAAAGUCUGAUGGAGCAACGCCGCGUGAGUGAAGAAGUUUCGGAUCGUAAAACUCUGUUGUUGGAGAAGAAUGUAUCUGAUAGUAACUGAUCAGGUAGUGACGGUAUCCAACCAGAAAGCCAACGG
rnacentral:rRNA from 1 species